UACGGAGGGUGCGAGCGUUGUCCGGAAUCACUGGGCGUAAAGGGUGCGUAGGCGGCGCGGUAAGUCGGGUGUGAAAUCUCGGAGCUUAACUCCGAAACUGCAUUCGAUACUGCCGUGCUUGAGGACUGGAGAGGAGACUGGAAUUUACGGUGUAGCGGUGAAAUGCGUAGAUAUCGUAAGGAAGACCAGUGGCGAAGGCGGGUCUCUGGACAGUUCCUGACGCUGAGGCACGAAGGCUAGGGGAGCAAACGGG
rnacentral:rRNA from 1 species